AGGAAAAGAAACCAACAGGGAUUGCCUCAGUAACGGCGAGUGAAGCGGCAAAAGCUCAAAUUUUAAAGCUGGCACCUCCGGUGUCCGCGUUGUAAUUUUGUGAGGCAUCUCCGGGUGGGGCGCCGGCCUAAGUUCCUUGGAACAGGACGUCAUAGAGGGUGAGAAUCCCGUGCUUGGCUGGCUGUCCCCGUCCAUGUGAGGUGUCUUCGACGAGUCGAGUUGUUUGGGAAUGCAGCUCAAAAUGGGUGGUAAAUUUCAUCUAAAGCUAAAUAUUGGUGGGAGACCGAUAGCGCACAAGUAGAGUGAUCGAAAGAUGAAAAGCACUUUGAAAAUAGAGUUAAAAAGUACGUGAAAUUGUUGAAAGGGAAGCGCUUGAGACCAGACUUCGGUGGGGAGUGAUCAGCCGUCCUUCUGGGCGGUGCACUUGCCCCCCUCCGGGCCAGCAUCGGUUGGGACGGCGGGAUAAAGGUCCCGGGAAUGUGGCUCCUCUCGGGGAGUGUUAUAGCCCGGGUGAAUGCCGCCAGCCCCGACCGAGGACCGCGCCUUCGGGCUAGGAUGCUUGGCAUAAUGGUCU
rnacentral:rRNA from 1 species